rnacentral:rRNA from 1 species
UAGGGAAUAUUGCACAAUGGAGGAAACUCUGAUGCAGCCAUGCCGCGUGUGUGAAGAAGGCCUUCGGGUUGUAAAGCACUUUCGGAGGGGAGGAAAAAAUAGACGUUACCCUCAGAAGAAGCACCGGCUAACUCCGUGCCAGCAGCCGCGGUAAUACGGAGGGUGCAAGCGUUAAUCGGAAUAACUGGGCGUAAAGGGCAUGCAGGCGGUUCAUCAAGUAGGAUGUGAAAUCCCCGGGCUCAACCUGGGAACAGCAUACUAAACUGGUGGACUAGAGUAUUGCAGGGGGAGACGGAAUUCCAGGUGUAGCGGUGGAAUGCGUAGAUAUCUGGAAGAACCAACGAAGGA